GACGAACCGUGCGAACGUUGUUCGGAUUCACUGGGCUUAAAGGGCGCGUAGGCGGCUUUCUAAGCCAGGGGUGAAAUCCUGGAGCUCAACUCCAGAACUGCCUUUGAUACUGGAGAGCUUGAGUCCGGAAGAGGUGAGUGGAACUCCGAGUGUAGAGGUGAAAUUCGUAGAUAUUCGGAAGAACACCAGUGGCGAAGGCGGCUCACUGGUCCGGUACUGACGCUGAGGUGCGAAAGCGUGGGGAGCAAACAGG
rnacentral:rRNA from 1 species